rnacentral:tRNA from 1 species
UCCCUGGUAGCUCAGUGGUAGAGCAGUUGACUGUUAAUCAAUUGGUCGGGGGUUCGAAUCCUCCCGGGGAGCCA